GCUUACGGCCAUACCAACCUGGCUAUGCCUGAUCUCGUUUGAUCUCGGAAGCUAAGCAGGUUUGGGCCUGGUUAGUACUUGGAUGGGAGACCGCCUGGGAAUACCAGGUGCUGUAAGCU
rnacentral:rRNA from 1 species